rnacentral:rRNA from 1 species
GAUGAACGCUAGCGGCAGGCCUAACACAUGCAAGUCGAGGGAGAGGUUACCUUCGGGUACCCAAAACCGGCGCACGGGUGCGUAACGCGUAUACAAUCUGCCUUUCACAUAGGGAUAGCCCGAAGAAAUUUGGAUUAAUACCUAAUGGUAUAUAAGAGCGGCAUCGUUUUUAUCUUAAAGCUACGGUGGUGAAAGAUGAGUAUGCGUUCUAUUAGCUAGUUGGAGAGGUAACGGCUCCCCAAGGCGACGAUAGAUAGGGGUUCUGAGAGGGAUGUCCCCCACACUGGUACUGAGAUACGGACCAGACUCCUACGGGAGGCAGCAGUGAGGAAUAUUGGACAAUGGUCGGAAGACUGAUCCAGCCAUGCCGCGUGCAGGAUGAAGGUCCUAUGGAUUGUAAACUGCUUUUGUAAGGGAAGAAUAAGGAGUACGUGUACUUUGAUGACGGUACCUUACGAAUAAGCAUCGGCUAACUCCGUG